rnacentral:rRNA from 1 species
UACAGGGGGUGCGAGCGUUGUUCGGAAUUAUUGGGCGUAAAGCGUGCGCAGGCGGUGAGCUGUGUCCGAUGUGAAAUCCCCGGGCUCAACCUGGGAACUGCAUCUGUGACUGCAUUGCUGGAGUGCGGCAGAGGGGGAUGGAAUUCCGCGUGUAGCAGUGAAAUGCGUAGAUAUGCGGAGGAACACCGAUGGCGAAGGCAAUCCCCUGGGCCUGCACUGACGCUCAUGCACGAAAGCGUGGGGAGCAAACAGG